CUAUGUGUAUAAAUCCCGAAAUAGCGAUCUUGUAACUUAUGCCAAGUCAUUGGUUUUCAUUUUUUCGGGAAGAGCACUCUUAACAAGCGUUUUCGGGCUCAAACUAGGUUCCAUAGCAUAAUAGUUAUUUUUUUCGUUGUGAAUUUUAACACCGAAGACAAAGAACCAACGAAGCCCGUUGCUGGGCCAUUGGCAUGGCUGGCGGUCUCUCCAGCAGGUCCAACAUCAGAGUAUACUUUACUCAAGAUGUAGUGUGGUUCCGGUAGAUCAUCUAAAGUCAUUAAAUUGUCCAUAAAGGUCCUUCAAGCAGACGCCAAAAAAACAAAUCAAAUUUAUCCUUCAUCAGCUGAUUUGUUUUUGAUUUUUAUCUGAGAUGACAG
rnacentral:lncRNA from 1 species